GUCCCCGUAGCUUAACGGAUAGAGUUCUGGGCUUCGAACCCAGCGAUAGAGGUCCGAUUCCUCUCGGGGACACAA
rnacentral:tRNA from 3 species